GGGGGGGCUAUAAUGCAAGUCGAACGAGAACCAUUGGAUCGAGGAUUCGUCCAAGUGAAGGUGGGGAAAGUGGCGGCCCUAUGAGUAACGCGUGAGCAAUCUGCCUUGGAGUGGGGAACAUCGGCUGGAAACAGCCGCUAAUACCGCAUGAUACAGCUGGGAGGCAUCUCCCUGGCUGUCAAAGAUUUAUCGCUCUGAGAUGAGCUCGCGUCUGAUUAGCUAGUUGGCGGGGUAACGGCCCACCAAGGCGACGAUCAGUAGCCGGACUGAGAGGUUGGCCGGCCACAUUGGGACUGAGACACGGCCCAGACUCCUACGGGAGGCAGCAGUGGGGAAUAUUGGGCAAUGGGCGCAAGCCUGACCCAGCAACGCCGCGUGAAGGAAGAAGGCUUUCGGGUUGUAAACUUCUUUUGUCAGGGACGAAGCAAGUGACGGUACCUGACGAAUAAGCCACGGCUAACUACGUGCCAGCAGCCGCGGUAAUACGUAGGUGGCAAGCGUUAUCCGGAUUUAUUGGGUGUAAAGGGCGUGUAGGCGGGAAUGCAAGUCAGAUGUGAAAACUAUGGGCUCAACCCAUAGCCUGCAUUUGAAACUGUAUUUCUUGAGUGCUGGAGAGGCAAUCGGAAUUCCGUGUGUAGCGGUGAAAUGCGUANAUAUACGGAGGAACACCAGUGGCGAAGGCGGAUUGCUGGACAGUAACUGACGCUGAGGCGCGAAAGCGUGCGGAGCAAACAGGAUUAGAUACCCUGG
rnacentral:rRNA from 1 species